rnacentral:rRNA from 1 species
GAGUUUGAUCUUGGCUCAGAUUGAACGCUGGCGGCAUGCCUUACACAUGCAAGUCGAACGGCAGCAUGAUCUAGCUUGCUAGAUUGAUGGCGAGUGGCGAACGGGUGAGUAAUACAUCGGAACGUGCCCUGUAGUGGGGAUAACUAGUCGAAAGAUUAGCUAAUACCGCAUACGACCUGAGGGUGAAAGUGGGGGACCGCAAGGCCUCAUGCUAUAGGAGCGGCCGAUGUCUGAUUAGCUAGUUGGUGGGUAAAGGCCCACCAAGGCGACGAUCAGUAGCUGGUCUGAGAGGACGAUCAGCCACACUGGGACUGAGACACGGCCCAGACUCCUACGGGAGGCAGCAGUGGGGAAUUUUGGACAAUGGGCGAAAGCCUGAUCCAGCAAUGCCGCGUGUGUGAAGAAGGCCUCGGUU